rnacentral:piRNA from 1 species
UUUGAUGUUAUAUAAUUUGACUGCUAUGGC